CUCGUAGGCGGCUUGGCAAGUCGAUCGUGAAAGCCCGGGGCUUAACCCCGGGACGCCGGUCGAUACUGCCAUGGCUUGGGCCCGGUAGAGGAGAAUGGAAUUCCCGGUGUAGCGGUGAAAUGCGCAGAUAUCGGGAGGAACACCAGUAGCGAAGGCGGUUCUCUGGGCCGGUACCGACGCUGAGGAGCGAAAGCGUGGGGAGCAAACAGGAUUAGAUACCCUGGUAGUC
rnacentral:rRNA from 1 species